AUGGUGCUGUUGCUGUGCACCAGCAUCUCUCUCUCUCUCUCCCACUCCCUCCCUCUCCCCACCCUGCAAAUCCCUCCCUCCUCCUCCUCCUCGCUGCAUCAUCCAGCCGUCUCUCGCCUCUCCCUCUCUUUGCCGCUGCCCUGCUCCCCCCCCUCCCCCUCCCUUCCGUCACCAUGUUGGACAUUUUCAUUCUCAUGUUUUUCGCCAUCAUAGGCUUGGUGAUCUUAUCCUACAUCAUCUACAUGCUGUAGGACCCGCCGCCCCGCCGCCAGCGACUGAGGGAUGCCAGCCAAGCAGGGGGGCGCCCUACCUGUGCCUCCCCAUCACCUCUGAAGGCUGUUCUCAGCAGUGUUCCUGAUGGGAAAUCCGGCUUCUGGAUUGCAGCAAAACCUGAUGUGAUUCUCUACCCCGGCUCAAAGCUGUGUUGACUUUGUGGGCAGCUGGCAUGGCCUCUCAGAGCGAUUCCAGAACUUUCUUGGGAGGAAGGUUAACCCUUGGCAAUUACAAACUGGCGAAGAGAGCUGUGAUUCAUCCCAAGGUCUGAAGAUUUAUCUCAAGUUUCCAAAAUGCCAACUUGGAAAUACAAGGAUGACUGGAACGGAAUGGACAAAAUUUGGCAAGCAGAGAAUAGUAUGGAAUGACUCUAUGGAAAGGGGAUAAGAAAAAAAUCUCCCUUGCCUUCAAGUGUAAAAGCUGCAGGGGUUUGCAACCACUGAGUAGCAGAAAUGGUAUUUUGUCUCAUUUUAAGUUUUAGAGUAUAUGUAUAUUUUAAGUAAAAAAUGGAAACUGGAGGGUGGCUUUCGAAGAAUGUUGAAGGAUCAAACAAAAUGGUAAAAAAACCAACAAGACUGAUAGCCAAUUGCAUUCCAUUUAAUAUUUGGCAUACUGUAGUCCCAGCAUAGACAUCAUGAGUUGAAUGUAGAAAUUAAUUUGUGCAGGUCGGCAGAUCAGCUGUAACAGCCCUGCAAAAGGUUGCAGAGAUGAGGUGAGGGGGUGGGGUGGGGUGAGAUCAUAUCCAGCAACCUGGUGAUAGAUAGGAAAUCCAUUGCCUUGCCCUGGGUUACCAACCUCCUGCUUGGACCUGGAGUUCCACUGGAAUAACUGGUCCCCAGCUUGCAGAGAGAUCUAUUCCCCCGACAAAAUGGCAACUUGGGAGGAUGAACUCUGUGGCAUUAUACCCGGCUGAAGUCGCUCCCCAAACCUCAUCCUGCCCGAGGUCCACCCCCACCAAAUGUUCAGGAAUCUCCCGUGCCAGAAUUGGCAGCCUUAAUUGACGCAUAUUUGCAUGAUAGGUGGAAGGUUAUUUGUGCAGCUAGGGUAUCAACUGUGGUUCUCCGGACUAGGACAAACCAACAACUUUGGUUUGCCUCAUUUGUUUUUAAUGAGCCUAUUCGGAAAGAACUAUUUUUACGCAUUUGCUUCCCUCGCCCGUGUGUUGUAAACCACAUCAAAUGAUUACAGCAGCCCAAAGCUGCUUGGGGUGGAGAAAAAGGAGCGCUCCUUUUGGAUGACAUGAAAAAUAGCAUUGCAUUUUCUCCAAACUGCCAAAAGUGUAUGAUUUCUACCAGUCGAAGUAGAGUGCUCCACCCCCAUCCCCAACCCCCCCAAAAGCAUGGUUGCAUAGCUGUAGAGUGAGUGCUUUGCGGGAUCUCGGAAUUACUUGAGUGUUUUUUUAAUUGUAAAAAGCUCUGCCGGAUCAGUGGUCCAUCUAUUCCUGCAUCCUGUUUCAUAUGAUCAUCCAACAGUCUGGUUUAGUGCAAUUGCUAACACAAAUAAAGAGAUUUGACACGA